GGCGAACGCUGGCGGCGUGCCUUAGACAUGCAAGUCGAGCGGCAGGCAGUCCUUCGGGGCUGCCGAGAGCGGCGAACGGCGGAGUAACACGUGGGUAACCUGCCCCGAAGACCGGGACAACCCUGGGAAACUGGGGCUAAUACCGGAUGUGGAUACGCUGGCUUCGGCUGGCGUAUCUAAAGGGAGCAAUCCGCUUCGGGAUGGGCCCGCGGCCUAUCAGGUAGUUGGUGAGGUAACGGCUCACCAAGCCUGCGACGGGUAGCCGGUCUGAGAGGAU
rnacentral:rRNA from 1 species